GUGUGUGGAUGGUGUUCAUCACCAAGGACAGGUGUGCUUACCUGUGUGUGGAUGGUGUUCAGCACCAGGGACAGGUGUGUUUACCU
rnacentral:pre_miRNA from 1 species